GGCGAACGGGUGAGUAACGCGUAUCACGACCUACCUUUGACUGGGGGAUAGCCCUGGGAAACUGGGAUUAAUACCUGCAUAUAAUUCUGAUAAGUAACACGAGAUUGGAACUGCACAAGUUCAGCGGUCAGAGAUAGGCUGUGCGUCUGAUUAGCGUAGGUUUGUAAGGUAGCGGUUUACCACGGCGACUCGAUCAAGUAGGGGGUCUGUUUAGAGCGUGGUCCCCCACGUUGGUUCUGAGCCAGGCUCAACUCUAAACGGGAGCGCGUCGGUAUCGGACAAUGGCCGCUAGGCUGAAUCCAGCCAUCCAGCGUUGCAGGAUGAAGGCCCUAUUGGGUUGUAAAUCUGUUUUGAUCACGGGAAAUGAAAACCUUUCGAUUUUAAUCGGAAACUGACCGGUACCUGAAGAAUAUAUGCAUCCGGCUAACUCCGUGCCAGCCUGCGCG
rnacentral:rRNA from 1 species